AACUUUCAACAAUGGAUCACUUGGCUCUGGCAUCGAUGAAGAACGCAGCGAAAUGCGAUAAGUAAUGUGAAUUGCAGAAUUCAGUGAAACAUCGAAUCUUUGAACGCACCUUGCGCCCCUUGGUUAUUCCUUAGGGCAUGCCUGUUUGAGUAUCAUGAACACCUCAACUCUCACGGUCUUCCGUGACGAGCUUGGACUUUGGGGGUUUGCUGGCCCUGCGGCCGGCUCCUCUCAAACAAAUCAGCUUGCCAGUGUUUGGUGGCAUCACGGGUGUGAUAAAUAUCUAUGCUCGCGGUUGUCUGCCAGGUAACCUUUGGUGACAAAGGUUUGCUGGAGCUCACAGAUGUCUCUCCUCAGCGAGGACAGCUUUUUGAACGUUCGAUCUCAAAUCAGGUAGGACUACCCGCUGAACUUAAGCAUAUCAAUAAGCGGAGGCU
rnacentral:misc_RNA from 1 species